GAAGGGCUGUAGCUUAAUGAUAAGAGCAUCUGCGUUGCAUGCAGGAGGUCCAAGGUUCAAUCGCCAGCAUCUUCA